CGUAAGUAUUAAAAUGGAUCAAUAUUAAUUUAACUGUGAUAUGAAGUUGUUGCCAGCCAUUUACAACUCAUAGGCUACAGUUGCCUAAUAAUCAAAUUUGCUAUGCCUUCACUAUGUAUUAACCAGUCUAUGGUAUUAACAUGUGAGCUAGAAUGUGUCAUUUGGCCUUUUUUGGGGGUUCCUUGUUUUAAUUUUUAUUGACUGAAAUUUGACUAUGGGCUCUGUGGGGUGGUCUUAAAUUUUGAAUUUGAGUUUGACUCUCUCUUUUUUUUUUUUUUGAAGAUGGAUAUAACAAUUCAAACGGGGAAAUCACUUCCAGAAUUACAGAAAUGUAAUAAAUGCUGCAGUGAUUUUCACUGCCCAUUCUGUGCCCCGAUAUAUUUCAAACCGACAAAGUUGUCCAAAGUUUAUUUUGAUUGGAUUGUUUCUAUUAUUGCCAUAUAUGAAAUGUUUUAUACAUUAAUUAAUUAAUGUAUUUAUUUAUAUGGACAGGCCAUCAUUCAUGGCCUAUGUGAGCUGCAGGCAUUAUCCUGGCAGGAGGCUGAGGAGGUGUUCCUUCGUGGCCCUACUUAUCACCCUAGUGAAGUUGAGGAAUUUGACCGGGUGAUUGCAAAAAGAAUGAGAAAAGAAGCAACAUUUGCCUACCAGAAACAAGAUGACAGUGAUUAAGGCGAUCGUUAAAUAAAGUACAGAAU